UACGAAGGGUGCAAGCGUUACUCGGAAUUACUGGGCGUAAAGCGUGCGUAGGUGGUUUGUUAAGUCCGUUGUGAAAGCCCUGGGCUCAACCUGGGAAUGGCAGUGGAUACUGGCGAGCUAGAGUGCGGUAGAGGGUAGUGGAAUUCCCGGUGUAGCAGUGAAAUGCGUAGAGAUCGGGAGGAACACCAGUGGCGAAGGCGGCUACCUGGACCAGCACUGACACUGAGGCACGAAAGCGUGGGGAGCAAACAGG
rnacentral:rRNA from 1 species